CUCCUAGACCCCAUUUAAGGGCUGAGUGCCAUUGAAGAAGGGUCUCUUUCUGGAGAUUGCUCCUCUUGGAGUUUUUAUUGUGAGCCUAUGAUGCAGGUGUUCUUGCACAGUGUGCAGUGAAGCAAGAGAUGUAAUUCCACAGAGGAUUUCAAGGGACUAAUUCCAAGAGCAAAAGGCAAGAUUAUAACAAACUAUCUCAGCAGAUAUUUACAGGCAUUUCUUAGACAACAAUGAAAAGAUGAAAAUAAAAAAGAUCGUUGGAAACCUAGUAAAGUAAGGUUGGCAUCAUUGAUACAGCAGAGGUGGUUGUGAACCUGAAAUUUGCUUGCAGCAGGAGGGACUUUGCUCGCACAAAAAUUUAGCUUUUUAAUAGCCAAAGGAAAUCUGUUUUUCUUGGUGUCUGGGAGGGAAAAAAAACUUAUAUGGAAAGCAGCAAUGAAGCUUCAAAAGUGUUAGUACUUAAAUGUAUUUUAGUUGAUAAUUUGCUUGGAGAGAUCUCCUGCUGUGGAGCUGUUUCUUCUUUCUUGAUUACACCUAUGUUAUGAAAAUUCAUACUGUAAAUUCAUUGUAAAUAAAUAAAAUUGUUUUUUCAUUUAAAAACACAUCUUUAUUUCUUCAUUUCUCCUCAUUAAGGAAAUACUCAUUGGUGCCAACAUUUUGACAAAGCAUUCAAACUGAGAAGAGAUUAUGUAGAAUAGUGAAAAGAAAAAGAAAAUGAUUUUUUUCGUCAGCAUAGAUAAUAUUAGCACAAGAGUAGUCAUAUAGUCAGAAAGAUGUAUGACUUAAUUUAAAGGAC
rnacentral:lncRNA from 1 species